rnacentral:rRNA from 1 species
UGCUCUGUGGAUCAGUGGCGAACGGGUGAGUAACACGUGAGCAACCUACCCCUGACUCUGGGAUAAGCGCUGGAAACGGCGUCUAAUACUGGAUAUGUGACGUGAUCGCAUGGUCUGCGUCUGGAAAGAAUUUCGGUUGGGGAUGGGCUCGCGGCCUAUCAGCUUGUUGGUGAGGUAAUGGCUCACCAAGGCGUCGACGGGUAGCCGGCCUGAGAGGGUGACCGGCCACACUGGGACUGAGACACGGCCCAGACUCCUACGGGAGGCAGCAGUGGGGAAUAUUGCACAAUGGGCGCAAGCCUGAUGCAGCAACGCCGCGUGAGGGAUGACGGCCUUCGGGUUGUAAACCUCUUUUAGCAGGGAAGAAGCGAAAGUGACGGUACCUGCAGAAAAAGCGCCGGCUAACUACGUGCCAGCAGCCGCGGUAAUACGUAGGGCGCAAGCGUUAUCCGGAAUUAUUGGGCGUAAAGAGCUCGUAGGCGGUUUGUCGCGUCUGCUGUGAAAUCCGGAGGCUCAACCUCCGGCCUGCAGUGGGUACGGGCAGACUAGAGUGCGGUAGGGGAGAUUGGAAUUCCUGGUGUAGCGGUGGAAUGCGCAGAUAUCAGGAGGAACACCGAUGGCGAAGGCAGAUCUCUGGGCCGUAACUGACGCUGAGGAGCGAAAGGGUGGGGAGCAAACAGGCUUAGAUACCCUGGUAGUCCACCCCGUAAACGUUGGGAACUAGUUGUGGGGUCCAUUCCACGGAUUCCGUGACGCAGCUAACGCAUUAAGUUCCCCGCCUGGGGAAUACGGCCGCAAGGCUAAAACUCAAAGGAAUUGACGGGGACCCGCACAAGCGGCGGAGCAUGCGGAUUAAUUCGAUGCAACGCGAAGAACCUUACCAAGGCUUGACAUAUACGAGAACGGGCCAGAAAUGGUCAACUCUUUGGACACUCGUAAACAGGUGGUGCAUGGUUGUCGUCAGCUCGUGUCGUGAGAUGUUGGGUUAAGUCCCGCAACGAGCGCAACCCUCGUUCUAUGUUGCCAGCACGUAAUGGUGGGAACUCAUGGGAUACUGCCGGGGUCAACUCGGAGGAAGGUGGGGAUGACGUCAAAUCAUCAUGCCCCUUAUGUCUUGGGCUUCACGCAUGCUACAAUGGCCGGUACAAAGGGCUGCAAUACCGUGAGGUGGAGCGAAUCCCAAAAAGCCGGUCCCAGUUCGGAUUGAGGUCUGCAACUCGACCUCAUGAAGUCGGAGUCGCUAGUAAUCGCAGAUCAGCAACGCUGCGGUGAAUACGUUCCCGGGUCUUGUACACACCGCCCGUCAAGUCAUGAAAGUCG